rnacentral:rRNA from 1 species
GACGAACGCUGGCGGCGUGCCUAACACAUGCAAGUCAACUUGACUGAAGGAGCAAUCUGACAGUAGAGUGGCGCAAGGGUGCGUAACGCGUAAGUAACUUGCCCAAGGUAAGGAAUAACGUCGAGAAAUCGGCGCUAAUACCUCAUAAUGCAGCGGAUCCGCAUGGAUAUGUUGUUAAAGGUUUACCGCCUUGGGAUAGGCUUGCGUCUGAUUAGUUAGUUGGUGUGGUAACGGCACACCAAGGCUACGAUCAGUAACUGGUCUGAGAGGAUGAUCAGUCACACUGGAACUGAGACACGGUCCAGACUCCUACGGGAGGCAGCAGUGAGGAAUAUUGGGCAAUGCUCGAAAGAGUGACCAGCAACGCCGCGUGGAGGAGUGAAGGUAUUCUAUAUCGUAAACUCCUGUGAGAGCAGACGAAAGACAGAUA